GCAGGUGUGAUGUAAAGAAACAUAAGGCUCUCGUACAGCCUUCAUGCAGGUUCAAAUCCUGCCGCCUGCUCCA
rnacentral:tRNA from 1 species